rnacentral:lncRNA from 1 species
AUUAUUCCCGUUGUUGUCCUUGUUGUUAUUGUUGUUAUCUUUGUAGUCGUUGUUGUCGAUGUUGUUGUUAUUGUCGAUGCUAUCAUUGUUCUCGUCAUUGUCGUUGUUGUCGUCGUUUUCCUCGUCGUCGACGUCGUCGUCAUCGUUGAUUUUGUUGUUUUGUUGUUUUUGCUGUUUUUAAUGUUGUUGUUGUUGGUGUUGGUGGUGUUGUUGUUGUUGUUGUUGUUGUUGUUGUUGUUGUUGUUGUUGUUGUNN